AUCGACCUUUUUUCCUGUUGAGGAUUUCAAGGAAAAUCGAGGAUUACAGGGAUGGUUCGCGACGAGUAGGGUUUUUUCCGUCGCCGCCUCCCUCAUCGCUCAAAUACAUCAUGGCACGGAGAGGUGGCGUGGGAAAAUGCUACGCCGUGCGGAGAGCCGAAGCAGGGGGCGGCGCUUGGUUAGGGUUUGCAGAGGGGCGGUGGGGGACCACCGAGGUGGGAGCAGAUCGUCGUAGUGAACCAAGGGAGAAGCAAAUCUAGAUGUGAGGCGGAGGG
rnacentral:lncRNA from 1 species